GAAACGACUGCUAAUACCGCAUAACGUCUACGGACCAAAGGGGGCUUCGGCUCCCACCUGAAGAGAGGCCCAAGUGAGAUUAGCUAGUUGGUAAGGUAAAGGCUUACCAAGGCGACGAUCUCUAGCUGUUCUGGGAGGAAGAUCAGCCACACUGGGACUGAGACACGGCCCAGACUCCUACGGGAGGCAGCAGUGGGGAAUAUUGCACAAUGGGGGAAACCCUGAUGCAGCCAUGCCGCGUGUGUGAAGAAGGCCUUCGGGUUGUAAAGCACUUUCAGUUGUGAGGAAAGGUUGGUAGUUAAUACCUGCCAGCUGUGACGUUAACAACAGAAGAAGCACCGGCUAACUCCGUGCCAGCAGCCGCGGUAAUACGGAGGGUGCGAGCGUUAAUCGGAAUUACUGGGCGUAAAGCGCACGCAGGCGGUUUGUUAAGCUAGAUGUGAAAGCCCCGGGCUCAACCUGGGAUGGUCAUUUAGAACUGGCAGACUAGAGUCUUGGAGAGGGGAGUGGAAUUCCAGGUGUAGCGGUGAAAUGCGUAGAUAUCUGGAGGAACAUCAGUGGCGAAGGCGGCUCCCUGGCCAAAGACUGACGCUCAUGUGCGAAAGUGUGGGUAGCGAACAGGAUUAGAUACCCUGGUAGUCCACACCGUAAACGCUGUCUACUAGCUGUUUGUGAAUUUAAUUCGUGAGUAGCGAAGCUAACGCGCUA
rnacentral:rRNA from 1 species